CUGAGUCGAAGUCAGAUGCUUAAGUGACUGAGCCACCCAGUCUCCCCUAAAGUAAAACUUUAUUUACAAGAACAGGUAGCAACUGGAUUUUUUCUGUGGGCAAUAGUUUGUGGACUCCUGCUCUAGGCCUCAAUGGGCACGCUUUCUUUCAAAGACGAUGCACUUUUGUUUGUAGGCUGCUGUGCACCAACCUAGAAGCGUACCAGCCCAUCCAGGGCGCUCCUCAUAGCGGGAGUCCCAGACUCCUGUCCCCAUCUCACUGCUGUCCCAGGAGUGUCCAUAGUCCACUUUGGGUCAACAAGUUUCUAGCAAGUUCUUGCUGUUCCAACUCCUUCCUGGUUUUCUUUGGAGAGUAAGGCAGGGAAGGGUUGCCUAGAGCCCCCUCCUUGCAAAUAAGAAAUGUUGUGUCUCCAUUACUCAGGAACUGGUUCUGUAAGUGGGACAGUCCUUCAGAGCUCCCGGUCAGCCAGAGUGCCAGAGGCAUGUAUUCUCUUCCAAUGCUCUCUUGCUAUGUCUGCUUAAACUUGGCAGUUCUAACUUCUGCAGAAUUGAAUAGAACCCUCAGUCGCUGUGGGGAGAUGGGGCUGUAGCCAGCUUCCUUCAAGGUGCUCUGCAUCACACUACAUAGAUGUCUGGGGCUUCCUUCCUGAAGUGCCUAGACCUGGUUCACUGUGCAGUAGAGAUGGGCUCUCCCACAGCCUAGAGGUUGGGCCUUGCCUAUUCUCUCAAAGCUGCUUGGUGCCAGGAUUAGUAGCACUGGUCUCUGAGAACUGAGGCCAUGGCGAGAGGCUCCAGGGAAAUGAGCAGGGGCAGAGGUAAGGAAGAGCUAAUGGUAGAUGAAUAAGGGAAGUCCUUGCUGACUCACAUGCUACCCUGCAUCAGGAUGGUGGAAGGCCCUUGAGGAGCCUCUCAGAGACCUUGCCAGGUAUCCCAGGUGUUACCAUCGCCUUACUUGGUGACAGACCUUGGAUUGGGUAGUCUGCUUCCCUCAUCACCUUCCCAGGUGUGAGUCAGGGUGUGAAAUGAGUGCACAUUCAGCCCCUGAGAUCUCUGCCCCUCUAUUCUGGAGCAGAGGCUGUGAACACUGCACCAUCACACUCCACCCAGCAGGCAUUUGUGUGUACCGUUGGGCAGCAGCCACUGGGAGGCAGCCAGUUUCUACCGUUGGGUGCUCACAGGAGGGUGUUAGAGACAACCCAGUGAUGGCCAAAUGCAACAUGACAAAUGCCGUGUGACUGCUGCCCAAUACAAGGCCUCACAGGGCACUGUGGUCAACCAGAGAAGGGAGGAGUUGUGGGGAAGUAGGUGAGAAGUUUCCGGAGAUGGUGACACAGGAGCUGAGAGCCUUCUGAGAAGUCAGUAGCUUUGUCUCUAAAACACAGCCCAAGAGGGGUCUGCUUAGUUGGGAUGGAAUAAGGUUGUGUUUACAGUGCUCUUGUCAAUGAUUCAUUAGCUGGAUCUUCCACAGCCUGGUUCCUUCUUCAUUCUUCCCACUCCCUACAACCUCACUCUGUCCUGGCCCCAAAGUGGCAGCUACAAAUCGUCUCAGACCCGAAUGUCCCCCACAUGGGGCUGGGUAGCAGAAGAGCAGAGGAGCCUACUAGGAUGAGGGACGAGGAAGCCCUGGGGCUAGAGGGCAUCUGUCCCCCCUUCCCCUUCUAACUGCUGGGGAAGAAGAUCCUUUGUUCAUGGAUGAAAACUCAGUAUCCCCACGGCUACAGGUGAAGUAACUGAGGCUGAGAAGGAAGUCAACACCUAUAAUCUCACAAGUGCUUUGGCUUAAGUGUAGGGUCUGGAGACGGACAGCUUGGGUAUAAAUUUUGGCUCUGGAGCCUUCUAACUGUGUGACCUUAGGUAAGUCCUUUAAUUUCUUUAUUUUAUACUCUGUAAAAUAGAAAUGAUAGUACUUCAUAAGGUUGUGAGGAUGAACUGAUUUAAUUAUACAGAGUAUACUGAUCAUUAGUACCCUGGUACAGAAUGUGAGCUCUAUAUCUUCCAUCUGUUAUUUAAACCAUUAUCCAUGUCUGCACUAAGUUUGAAACACUAAAGGAAUUUGAUUCAUAUAAAUAGGAAAGCAAAACUAAUUUCUCUUUUACUUUCUCCUGUGACUCAUGAAGAUACAACAAUAUUUUGCUCACUUUUUGGAAAUGACUGUGUUCUAGCAUUUCAACAUAAUCUGAGAAAUGAGAUUUCAUAAUUGGAGAGAGGUAAAUGUAUUCUAAACCCACAAAUCAUGUUUAUAGACCUGAAUCCUCCAAAGCCAUCUCGUAAGCCGAUGGCAGAAGACAGGCUGUAUGUUCGGGAAUAUUCACCAAGUAUUGUUUUCACGAGUCCUGUCAGGAAAUUGAUCAGAAAUCAGCCUUUCUGAUCCAGAUUUCAAGUUAAAGUGAUGGUUAAGUCAGAGCUCCUCAAAGAGUCUUUGAGUGGGGACCCUUUGAAAGUGUUAAAAUCUGCGGUGAGAGAAGUUACGCAGGAGGGAGGCUGAGGACUGGACUGAGUACCUGUGUGCCCAUAGACCCUUCUUGUUCCAGUGUCAAGGUCAGCAUCCCCUGGUGGGGAUCCCCCACCCCUGCACGUGUCCAUUUUCUCUUUGUCCCUCUCCCCACUCUAUCCUCUUUCCCUGGCUUACCACUCUCUAUCCCUCCCCAGGUGGGAAGCUGUCCUCUAUCCCCUGACUGCUUUUGGCUGGGAUCAUGGGACACAACUGAGGGACAAUGGGCAUGAGAGAGAGAUGUCAGACUGGGUUUAGGUGAUUAUGCUCUAGUCCCAUUUGUAUCCCUAAUAGAGUUUUGGACAAAGUCCCCAUUCCAGAUCUGUUUUCUUAGCACUAUAAAGUCCACAUAUGAGUUUAACAAGGUUUCUAGUUAUAAAAGUUACUAACUUACUGAGACCUAAAUUGACUGGGAUAUUACUACUACCUGUGUUAUUGCUGGAUCUCUCAACUGGUUGCUGAGCUGUUUUGGGGAAGGACCAUAGCUACUGAAAUGUUACAAAGGAGGACCCAUCUCACACUCUUUAUCUCCUAAGGCUGCAUACAGUCUUAGGCAGUUAACAAACAUCAGUAAUUAGGGUAACUGCUUCCCUGCAGUGUUCACCUUCAGUUGACAAUAUGAUUCUUCCUCUAACUAAUUUUCUUCCUGUAAAAAGAUUUGGCAUAAUUUUUGUGCCUCAGUUUCCUCUUCUAUAAAAUAGGAAUAAUAGUACUUACUUCCUAAGAUUGUUAUGAAAAUUAAAUGAGUUAAAAUGAAGAGCUUAGAACAGUUGCCUGGCGUGUAAUACAAUCUAGCGAGUGUUAGUGGCUAUGAGACGUUGCUUAGAGGGUUAUAAAUGAUCAUGCAUCUUCUGGAAAACAGGGUAACAGACAUAUCAAGAGCUCAAAACAAAUGGUUCUCAGGCCCACAUAUCCCACUCUGGAAAGCCCUUGGAGAACUCACACAUCAUUAUAUUUAUCACAAGAUUACUACAAUAAAAGUUAGAAAUAUGAGCGAUGAACAAGACCAAAUUAUACCCUCUACUUGACUCCUUUACAGCUGCUAAAAGACUAUAGCAAUACAAAUCUCUGAAAAUCUACAAACCUUUGUGCAUAUAACAUAACUCCAUGUGAGAAAUGCAGUGCACACACUGAAGUGUGAAGUGUGUAGCAUUUUGGGUUUUACUUUUCCUUUCAUAACUAAAAGAGGAGAUCUGUGGCAGAUGCAUAGUCAAACAAAAACUGGGAACACAAGAUGAUGAGGUUCUUUCCUUAUCUCAGGAAGACUUGAUUUUAAUGAUAAUUAUCACCUACCAGUUCUUUUUUGGAAUUAGCUGUCUUUAACUACUGUUCUUAAAGUUUAUUCAGAAAAAGACACCUCAUUAGAGAUAAGCAACAGCUAUCUAUCUAGGGAUGUGGUGCACCAGAUUUUUUUUUGUGGGGGCGGGGGGGGGGGGGAAGAGCACUCCCUUGUGUUCUGGGGCUGAAGGCAGCCUCCAAAAUCAGUUGGUAGGAAUGUGCUGAGUCUUGACCAGCUGUAACAAGGUGGUCUAAUACAAUCUCUGCUUUUGUUUACAGAUCUUAGGAGAAAAGGACUACUAUUCAUCCCAAAAUGAUGAGGGCAGGCUGACUGGAAUGGAAAAGAGUUGAGUUAUCCUUUAGUUAUCUGGACCUGCUGGUUGGAGUUUCUGUAUUCCCUGCAGUCUUCUCAUGUUGGCCAUCGGCCUCAUGUGGCUUGUGACUAGAACACAUUUCUAUAUUAAGAGGAAACAUUCUCUGGGUCAGAAUGUGGCACCACAGAAGCACCUGCCUAUAGCACCUGCUUUUGACCUAAUGGACCUCUACAAACACCUUCCCUUUAACCCCUGCCAGCCUAAGCCCCAUGCCAGGGUUCCACAUGGUGCUCAACACAAGAAUGUUUCUCAGAACAGGGAACUGCAGCUAUGGGUGGAACAAAACAGAGGCUCUGAGGGUAGCAGCUGCCUCUCUAAAGGAUGGGAGUAAAAGACCUUGUCCUUUGGAGGACAAAUUUCACUGUGCCACCAAAUCACACACUCAUGAACUUAGGAAGAACUACCUUGAUUAUGAUCCUGCCUGUCACUUCCAUUCUCUAUGAUUCCAACUGUGUUGUGGUUCCUGACUCUCCCUGAGGAGAAGGCCUGUUUGUUGGGGGGCGGCGGAGAGGGGGCGUCUUCCCUCAAGGCUCAGCCUAUAAUCCCAGCACUGGGCUGAGGUAGCCUUCCUGUGACCCAGACACUGCAGUUGAUGAGUGUGGUCCGCAGAAAGUGUCCAGAACAGCAGGAAGCAUGUGGUACCAACCUUCAAAGUUGAAGGAGUUUAUCAGUGGACAGAUUAGAGAACUGUUAACAUGGUUUAGAAAACUCAACCUCAGGAUUUUUUCUCUCUUUUUACAGAAAAAGAAACUCCCUUAAAAGUAGUGGAUGAGAGCUCUUGAUUCUUUUUCCUUCAUCCUUGGUUGUAUUUUAUUGGAUUAUAAGAUUGUAUUUAUGGAGAGAUUCUGUCUUCUCUUCUUACUCUAUUUCAGUCACUACAUGUACCAGUUUGAUAUGAAAGCCCUACAGUUUGACCCUAAAUAAAAAAGGAAAAUCCUUUAUAUUUAA